rnacentral:lncRNA from 1 species
UGUGUCUGAGGGAGGGCGGGCGCUGGCCUCUGGGCCCCAGGGGACGAAAUGCUCCAGGCAUCCUAGCUCUUGUAGAGGCUGAAAGAGUUGCUUUGUAUGCUAAUGUAUGCGUGGACUAUGCUGGGUUGUGUAGAAGAUAGAGGACGGGGAGGCUCGCAUGGACACACGGUACAUAGCCGGAUACACAUCCUUGAACACGGAACAACGGGACUGGUUGGUGAACUUCCUCUGGAACCACAGCUAAGCAACAAGUCCUCAGGGCAGAUCACUUGUGGCCAGAUCACCCUCCAAACAGGAACCAUCACAGAGUGGGGGGAUAAGCAUCCACCCAACCUCAUUUCUGCUGCUCUGUUCAAUACACCGACCAAAAGCAACCUGGUGGAGAAAUGUGAGUUAUUUUAGUUUUCCAUUUCAGGUUACUGUCCAUUAUUGUAG